UCCCUGGUGGCUCAGUUGGUUAACAGUCUGCCUGCAAUGCAGGAGACCCAGGUUCAGUCUCUGGCUGGGGAA
rfam:Ovis aries breed Texel chromosome 10, whole genome shotgun sequence.